GGAGCCUCCCCGCUGCCUGGACACAAGUGGCCGCUAGAGCAGUGGUUCUCAACCUGUGGGUCGCGACCCUUAUGGGGGUUGAACGACCCUUUCACAGAGGUCACCUAAGACCAUCG